ACAUGGCAUCUGGCUUCAUCAGAGUGAGCAAGAGAGAGGGCAAACAUGAUAGGAAACCUACAUCUCCGUGUAAACUAAUCUUGGAAGUGGUGUCCCCUCACUUUUGUCAUGUUUUAUUCAUAAGCAGCAAAUCACUGGGUUCUACCUCAUACAUAAGGAGAGUUCAUUCAGCAAGGACAUGCAUACCAAGAGAUGCAGAGCACUAUGAUAUAUUUUGGCUGUUGUCUCUUUCUCCAGGAUUGUGGGUGACCUCACAGCUUGCUGAUCAUGAAUCAAGAAUUAACCCUGAAGAAAAUGUAUGGGGAGAAUGUGGCCUCAAACUGAUUCAGAGAAGAGUUAAAAAGAGGAAAUGGACAGCAAACACUCUUCCAGAUUGAAGAAAAAGCAUCCAGGGACUUCCUUUUACAAACCAGAUGGCAGCCUCCAGCUGGCUGCCUUAGAGAUAUUGAAAUUGGAAGACCCAAUAUCUGAGCAGACACGCCCACUUAUAGUUCUCUCCAUCUCUACAUGGAGCCACAACCAC
rnacentral:lncRNA from 1 species